AAGGAUAUCUCACUCUCACAAAUUAGAAAUCCCUCGUCACUCUCCAUACCCCGAAUAAACCCUACUUUAUACAAUCUCCAUCUCUCCCGCCCACAAAUCUCUCAUCGGCAGUGUAUCACAGAUCAUCGUCAACUCCCCCUUCUCUCUGUGCAUAUUCUCUUUCCCUCUUCUCGCGAAGGCCCUCGAUUGGCCAGUGAUAUGGUGGCAUUGAUUUGGAAAAAGAACAACGAAGCUUCUGGUCUCCGAUGAUGUCAAAUCCCAUCUCUAAACAAGGUCUUCUCUAUUUUCUCUAUGUGUUGAUUAUUUAUUCAUGUGGAUUUAGGGUUUCAUUGUUAGUUUGCUUUUGUUCUUUGAAUGUAGUUAGUAGAUCUAGGGUUUUGUUGUAUGUAUCUGCUGCUCUAAUAAAUUAUUUAAUUUGUCGUUAAAAUUUAGUUGACAAACAAGAGUUGUGUAUGGAGUAGAGUGUUUUUGGUCGUUUAAUGUUAUAUCAUCCAAUGCAGUUGUGAAAUGGAAUUGGUUGAAGAAUUGGGUUGUUCUUAUGAAAUUGACUAUGAUAUCAUUUGGAGUGAUAUUAUUCUCUUUUUCAUUUUUAGAUGGAAUUGUUUUUGAGAUUGAGUGAUUUUAUUCUCCUUUUCCGCCUAUGUGAUAAGGGAAUAACAUUUUUGCCGUCAAAAAGUUGCUAGUUGUUGCUGCUUCUACCUAUUUCCUCCGCCUCUGCAAAUUUAUAAGGUUUUUGUUUUCAACAAUUCUAAGAAAUGUAUGAACACUUGAAGUCCACUCACAUUCUCCUUUGUUUUCUAUGCUUGUCUUGUGUUUCUGGUACUUAGAAUUUGCACUGUACUACUGAACAUUUUUUUGAGCACUUUACUAUUUCUUGUUGACUCUGCUUUGUUGUGUCGUGUUCACUCUGUCACGAUCCAAAUACCCAGUAUAGGCUGUGAUGGCGUCCAAUGUUGCCGUUAGGUAAGCCAACGGUGAACUAUCCAUUUAAUUAUUUUUUUUAUUAUUUUUAAAGUCAUGAAUUUUUAUUUAAUAAAGAAACCAAUAAUAAAUGGUCAUGGUGAUGUAAAGCAUAAAAUAAAACAUAAGAGUGAAGUAGUAAAAUAAAUAGGCAUAAACCAUAAAUAUCUACUAGCAAUUUUCAAAACUCGGUGUCACAAGCGCACGGGCAAUCUAGUAGAAUAUACAAAACCUCUACAACUACUGUCUGAAAUAAAAUAGAUAGAAAUAGUAAAUACAACCCGGGUGCUGAAGAUCGGAGAAUGGAAAGCAGCUCACCACUAGGUCUAGGGUAAUGCAGAUACGUGCCUGGACGGACACCAGAUGUACCUACCUCAGUACCUGCACAAUUUGUGCAGAAGUGUAGCGUGAGUAUGUAAAACAACGCAUACCCAAUAAGUAUCUAGUCUAACCUCGAAAAAGUAGUGACGAAGGAUCGACAUCGAUACUUACUAGUGGUCAAUAUAUAUAAAGUGCAAGAAUUAUAAAUAGGCAUGAAAUAAAACAGUAACAAUGGAAUAAGAAGCAAUAAAUAAGUGAUUUUUUAACAAAAUAUCAAUUUAAAAGUCCUCAAAUAUCACAUGCCAAUUUCAACCAAUAAGAGCCAGCAAGUAAUUAUAAUUUCUCAAGUCAUGAAGGAAAUAUCGAGUAUAAUCGGACUCCUUGAAACAUCACGCACGAGUUAUGCUGAGGUCGUAUGGUCCGAUCCAUAAUAAUCGUGUACAUACACUACUGAGGUCGUACAGACCGAUUCAGGGAUACAUCUCAUUAUAUAUAAAUAUUGCCGAGGUAUUCCGCCCGAUCCAUAGGAAUAGGGGAACUCUUCGGACUACAGGAUAUACGUUUACAACAACAAGAUAAGUACAUAAAGGAACAUAAAUUUUCUAUCAAUAAUCGAAUAUUUCGCCAAAACCCAAAGUAACAAAGCUUGGUCUGAUAUAGUCUCUAAUCAAGUCUCACUUACUAAUACAAGCAAUUAAAUUACCAAGUUGGAUUCAAAUAGUACAAGUAAUUGUAUAAUAAAGUCCUAUGUCUACCCGGACAUAACAUUAUUUUUAACUACGUACGAACUCUCGUCACUUUGUGCGUACAUAGCACCCACAAUUACUAACAAAUAACCAUUUAAACACCUAUGGGGUUAAUUCCCUCUUACAAGUUUAGGCAAGAGACUUACCUCAUUUUCAAGUCCUCUCCCCGAUCCUCAAUUCACACUAAUAGCCUCAAAUCGAUGCCGAGCAAUUCGAAACCAACCAAAAGUCAUACAAACUAAUCAAUAUAUGCUCAAAAGUUCUCAAUUUAACUAUUAGAAUAAUUACCCAAACCGAUUUGGAAAAUUCUUAAAAGUCACGAUCGGGCCCCCGUGCCCGGAUUUUGAAAUAUUUUAUAGAUAAAUGUUACCCGUAACCUUACAAACUCAAAUAUAUAAUUUAUACUCAAUUUCAUAAUCAUUUUCGUGGUCUAAUCCCAUUUUUACCAAAACCUAGGAGUUUUAAUAUAAUCCCAUAAUUUCCACAAUUUCUAUGUUAAAAUCUACCCAUAAUCUAUGUAUUAAACUCACAUUAUAUAGAAAUUACUUACCUUCAAUUGCUAGGUGAAAAUAUCUCUCCAAAAAGCUCUAGAAUCGGCCAAGAAAUGUGAGAAAUGAAGGAAAUAAGCUAAAUCCCGAUUAUUAAAAGUUUCUGCCCAGUGAAUCCUUUUUUGCGAUCGCGAAAGAAGCCUCGUGAUCGCGAAAGAAGCCUCGCGAUCGCGAAAGAAGCCUCGCGAUUGCGAAGGCAAAACUGCUCCUCGCCCCAAAGGCCUUAUUCACGAGCGUGAUCAGCACCUCAAAAUUGCGAAGGCUAGCCAAUCCAUCACUAUGCGAACGCGACCGGCCCUGCGCGAACGGGAAGGGCAAAAGGGCUUCUGACCCCAGACCAGUCCCUUAUACGCGAACGCGACCCAUACAUCGCGAACAUGAAGAAAAAUAUUACCCAACCUCCAAAUCCUUUAUCGCAAAUGCAAGAAUCCUUUCGUGUUCGUAAAGAAGAAAACAAGCACUAGCAAUUUCUGCAAUUUGGACUUAACUUCGUGUGGUCCGAAACACACCCCAGCCACCCGGGACCCCGUCCAACUGCACCAACAAGGUUGUAAACAUAAUACAGACCUACUCGAAAUAUGUAAAACAACAUCGAAAUAAAGAAUCGCUCCCUAAAACUAAAAUAUUCAACUUAUGAACUUUAAGCUUCUUCAACUAGCUCCGAAUGCGACAAACAAUACUUAGACAACUCGGAAUGACGUCAAAUUUUACGCACAAGUCACAAAUCACCAUACGAACCUAUUCUCGGGCUCAAAAUCCCAAACGGAUAUCGAUAACACCAAAGCCUACUUCAAACCAAAUUUACAAAACUCUAAAACUUCAAGGUGACGAGCUCGAAACACACACUUAAUUUAUGCUCGCUAAUCAAAUAUAGUAUAGUAUAAUAUUGUAUCCACAAGGAUUGGAUUUAAACAGUAUUCUCAUAGUUUUUAGCUUGAUCGCUAUCCAAGAUGAUCAACAAUUGAGAUUUAUAUAAUUUUUUAUUAAAAUUAAUUAAGAUCUAAAGCUAUUGACUAAUGACAAUUGAAACAAGAAAGUUAUCAGUGGGAGGAAAUAGGGGUUGAUAGGAUAGGUGUAAGAUAAUUAUUUGGGAUAUAACUCUAGAUAAUUCACUUGUAAUGUUUAAGUGAGUCUCUUGAAUUCACUCAAUUAUCAGUUCAACCGUUUAGCAAAAACUCCUCUCUCGAUUAAGUUUCAACCUCACAAGAUGAACUAAUUUAAGCACGUGAUGAUAUGCAAGAAUGCGUAGUGAAUUGGUCUUUAGGAAAAUAUCUUUCGGUUAUUCUCCUAACUAGGUUUAAUCAAUGAUUCAACUAGACUCUUUCGAUUACUAAGAAGAAUCUAUGAACUCAACCAACAAAAUAAUAUAAAUUUGUCACAAGUUAUGCCUCUCUCGAUUACAUGAACAAGUGAAUAUAGAUGCAACAGUUAAAUCAUCCAAAAAUGCUUCAAUACAUAAAACUAGAGUUAUAAUCCACAAACAAUCAUCAAUACACCAUAUCCAUCAAACCCUAAAGGGCACUACUCCAUAGAUAUGGAGAAAUUCGUCACAAAUAAAAUUAACGUAUGGGAAAACAUAAAUUCAAUCCAAACUCGGGUCUUGAGUGAGGAAAGAAUGAUGAAAUCCUUGUACUUUUGCUCCUCCUUGGCUUCCUUAGGUCUAAAGUGUGUCAAAAUUUUUAGAAAAUAAUAUUUUUCCAUGUAUUUAUACCAAGUAGGGUCGGGCCCAAACGAAAUCACCCUUUUCUAGCCGUAAUAGAAAAACUUGCAAACUUAAUGCUUUUCAUGCGUCGCACUAUGCUAUGCCCAGUGGAUCGCAUUAGUGCAAUUUUCUCGGUCGUAAACUCUAUGAACUUAGCUUGUCUGACAGAAUUUUUUACUGAUGCUACGCACUAUGCCAUGCACUAUGCCUAGCAUUAGUGUAUUUUUUUGUGAGACCCAAAAAUUACAAGUCUCUGAACUUCUUAAAUUUCUGACGUACAUUUGCACUGAUGCGUCGCAUAGUUCUAUGCAUGGUGCGUCGCAUCAGUGCAUUUCCUCAGAGUGUUGCUUCUUCCUUGAUUUUUGACAACCAAAAGUGAUCCUCGACCCCCGAACACGAUCCCGGCUUAAUCCCUUGGGCUUUUACUCAGACUUCAAAGCUCCAAUUAUUUGAUUUAGCUCCACAAUAUCUACAUAACUCGGAAUCAUUUCUACAAGGCAUAAAAUAUGCAAUAAGUGAAAAAUACUAUCAAUUAAAGCUCAAAAUAAGUAAAGUGCAGUAAAUUAGAGUGCAAUAAGUGACUAAAAUACGAGAUUAUAGCCUACCAUCACAAGGCGCCAACUUUCAACAUUAAGCGCCGAAACGCUCCCGGAUUACACGAAACCGAUCCGAACAUACGCCCAAGUCCAAAAUUAUCAUACAAACCUAUUGGAACCAUCAAUACCGGUUCUGAGGUCGUUUACUCAAAGUAUUAACUCAAGUCCAACUUGGCCAUCUUAGGCUACUAUUAAGGAACUAAGUGUUCCGAUUUUAACCCGAACCUUUCCAAAACCAAACCAACCAUCCCCGCAAGUCAUCAAACAAUAAAAUCACAUAUGAAGAGUCUUAAAUAAAGAAACGGAGAUCUAGAAAGCAAAACGGCCGGUCGGGUCAUUACACAUUUUUAGUCCGAGUUUUGCACUAUAUGUAAACUAGAGUCAUUGUUUGCUUGGCUGUGUGUUUCUUGACUUGUGACUUGGUGACGUGUAUGAGAAAGUUACUCUCGUGUUCCCUUUAUCCUAUAGUUAAUAGCCCGAUAUUCGUAAAUUCAAUUGAUAAUAAACCUCACGAAAAGAAGAAUCAUAUAAGAAUGACCAUAUAUUUAUAAUCAAAUUGACUAUAUAAGUUUUUAACUUAUGACAGCUAUUUCAGGACAAACACAAUUAGAUAUACUGAUAAAACUCUACCUUGAAGAAGCUAAUAGGUAGUACCACAAGAAGCAGAAGGAAAUUUUCCAGUUUUAUGUCAUCUUUAUCCAUCAGAUUGACUAGUUGUUGUGCAAUAUAGAAAUAAAGUUGUCUGAGAAAUAAAAAAAGAAAGAGAAUUAGGAUAAACCGGCAAUUUGACUUUCUUAUGAGAUUUAACUACUAGAGUAACUCGUAAUCAAGUUUAGUACAUGAAGAGUUGUCUAGUUUUACUUAUUAAUCAUGCUUUUUCUACUAAAAUAAUUUCGUUGAUUUCUGAUUUUUGUUAAACUUUUGAGUAAUCAGUCUUUUCUAAUAUAUGUUUAUUCUACUGAGAUUGGACAAAUUUAGAGGCUCUACUCAAAAGGGAUCUUCGCUUCUUAAUCACAUUUCUUUUGUGUUUCCGUUCUUUUAUUUACUUUGUUGGUUAAAUUCUUUGCAUAGUCUGAUUGGUGAUAAGUUUCAAUAUUUACGAGAGUUUGACUUAGAAUUAUUGUCCACAAAUCUUCUGAAGAUGAGAAUAAUAUUUCUUGUUUUUAUAUUCUAACCUUUGUUUGGAUCAGUCGUAUAAAUCUAACUGAAGUUGGUCGACAUUCUUUUAUGACUGAUAGCGUCUAUAAUCAUGUGUUUCAAAUGCCUGGUAACUUUUUCUGUUAAUUUUUCUACUACGAUGUGCAUGUUAGAGAUGCAACAUGUAAUGUCCAAUUUUUAUUAAAAAACUUUUCCUAAUGAUAUUUUAUGGAAAAUAAUCAAAUCACUGACUAGAAGAAAACUUCCCUUAUAUCCUUGAUCUCUUUAAGAGACAGAAACUUAGAACACAUAUUAAUUAGUCACCUUGUUUUGGAAAUUGCUAAAUCAAACCUUGAAUUUUAAUAUUUGAUACUCAUUUGUUGUUCAGAUAGUAUUCUUGAGGCUGGUAGAGAGAAAGUGCGAUGACAUGAUCUCUAUCCUGCAGAAAAUAAAAGCAAUCUUGUCCUAUUCAAGGUAUUCACCCAUGAUUGAUGAUGAUGAACAUAUAUUGGAGAAGGCCAUACAUAGGGCAAGUUUUAACUUCUUAGUAUUUUGGUUUUAACAUCGUAAUAUUUUGGAGAAGGCUUACUCUGUGAAUCUGAACUUACAAGUUCUUUCAUUUAACAAGACUACAAACACAAAAGCAUGGCGAAACCUGAGUUGUGAGCUAUAUAAUAUAUGAUAUCGGACAUUCAUAUUAGAAACUAUACCCAUGAUAUUUGUAAACUUGCUCUUUUCUGACUUUCUAGACAGUAUGUCACUUUUCCAAUUGAGCCAAAAAGAUCACCAUACAUGUGUUAAUUAGUAAUCAUUGUUAGGGUCAAAUAUCGUUUUAUUUUUUGGAUCUUUUGUUGAAUAAUUCUUUAAAACUUAAGAUAUUUGAUGAUGUAUUUUG
rnacentral:lncRNA from 1 species